rnacentral:tRNA from 1 species
CUGUCAGGAUGGCCGAGUGGUCUAAGGCGCCAGACUCAAGUUCUGGUCUUCGAGAGAGGGCGUGGGUUCAAAUCCCACUUCUGACAA